UUUAAUGAUCUUAUUUAUUUUUGAUUUUGUUGGUGUUAUUUUUUUUUCUUGUUGUGAUUGUUGUUGUUGUUGAGAUUUAAUGUUUAACGAUAUUAUUGAUUUAUUUUUUGUUCUUGUUGUUGUUGAGAUUUAAGGUUUAACGAUUCUGUUGAUUUUGUUUGUUUUGUUGUUGUUGUUGUUAUUGCUCAUGUUGUUCUUGUUCUUAUUCUUGUUCGUGUUCUUGUUGUUCCUAUUCUUCUUGUUGUUCUUAUAUUUUUUGUUCUUGUUAUUUUUGUUUUCGUUGUUGUUGUAUUAGAAAUUUUUAAU
rnacentral:lncRNA from 1 species